rnacentral:rRNA from 1 species
UGGGGAAUAUUGGACAAUGGGCGAAAGCCUGAUCCAGCCAUGCCGCGUGUGUGAAGAAGGUCUUCGGAUUGUAAAGCACUUUAAGUUGGGAGGAAGGGCAGUAAGCGAAUACCUUGCUGUUUUGACGUUACCGACAGAAUAAGCACCGGCUAACUCUGUGCCAGCAGCCGCGGUAAUACAGAGGGUGCAAGCGUUAAUCGGAAUUACUGGGCGUAAAGCGCGCGUAGGUGGUUCGUUAAGUUGAAUGUGAAAGCCCCGGGCUCAACCUGGGAACUGCAUCCAAAACUGGCGAGCUAGAGUAGGGCAGAGGGGGGUGGAAUUGACUGUGUAGCGGUGAAAUGAGUAGAUAUAGGAAGGAAAGCAAGUGGCGAAGGCAACCACCUGGGCUCAUACUGACACUGAGGUGCGAAAGCGUGGGGAGCAAACAAA